GCGCCGAUUGUACGAGAAACUAAGCGCCUUUGCAGCGCCAUUUAGUUUCUGUGAUUAUUCCCCCACUGGCGGUUGAAGUUUAAAUAGCUUUGUACAAGGCGACCAACCGGUAUACUUACCAAAGUUUUAGACAAGCGCGCUAUAUUUUUGUGUGAUAUUAUGGCGAGAUUCAGUAGUUAGGUGCUAGUGAAAAUGUUGGAAAUAGAAGGACGGUUUUUACAAUUCGUUGCUGUUAUAUCAGGAACGCUAUGUGCCAUUUCCGAUGGAAUGCAAUAUGCUUGGACAGCGCCCAUCGUCCCAAUUCUUCAGCGCCCCGAUUCCCCGAUUCCGAUUACGCAUACGGAUGUCGUGUGGUUGGAAAGCAUCUACAUGAUAGGAGGGAUGGCCGGAAUACCAUUUAUAAUUUACAGCGUGGAUCGAUUUGGGCGCAAGGCCACAAUUUUAAUAGGAACCGUGCAGCACAUAGUAUCAUGGAUAAUGAAAGCGUUCGCCCCUUCAGUUGAAUUCUUCUACGUGGCGAGAUUCAUCAGCGGAUUCGCGGCAAACGUCGACUUUGUAGCAGCGCCCAUGUAUAUCAGCGAAAUUGCCGACAAGAGGGUGCGCGGAUUUUUAGGCUCAUCGAUUUAUGUGAUGAUGCUAGUGGGAAUUUUGAUAAUCUAUUCGGUGGCGCCGUUUGUUUCGAUUCCGAUAUCGUCGGCCGUCGGCUGUUCAUUUUUGGUGGUGGAACUCUUCGUUUUUCCCUUUAUGCCUGAAUCACCCUACUAUCUGGUUUCAAAAGGAAAAAUGGAAGCGGCCAAAAAAUCGCUGCAGAAGUUACGAACGACAACGAAGAAUAUCGAUAAGGAAUUUGAAGAAAUACUGUCCAUGGUGAAAAGGCGACAGUCAGAAAAAGAGAAGCGGAGUUACGCAGACUUGUUUCGGAUAAGGAAAAAUCGAAGAGCGGUGCUAAUUGUGACAACACUGAACUGUGCGCAACAUUUUAGCAGUUACAGCGUGAUUUUGAUGAAUCUUCAUUCGAUACUGAAUGACGCGGGGUCAAUGUUGAGCUCGAGUAACGCCGCGAUUAUAUUUUCGGCAUUAAUGUUAUGUGCCGCUCUAUCUUCGUCGAUUUUAGUUGACAGAACUGGAAGAAAGAUGCUUCUUUGCGCAUCAUGUUGCUUGACAGGCCUUUCGAUUUUAUCCCUCGCAAUGUACUUCGCAAUAAAGAACAGUGGACAUGAUGUCGCUGGGUAUAGUUGGGUACCGGCCACAUCCGCGAUGUGCUACGCAGUGUUCUUCAAAUGUGGAAUGGGUCUUAUACCUAUAGUCUUAACAGCCGAACUCUUCCCAUCCAGCGUCAAAGCGAUGGGGAUGGCAACCGCGUCCGCAAUGUACAGUGUGUCCUCCGUUGUAUCUAUAUACGUUUAUCAGUUCCUCAGCGACCAAUUCGGGAUGCACGUACCGUUUUUCAUUUUCGGGUUUUCUUGCUUUUUGGCAGCAUUUUUCACUAUAUAUUUCAUACCAGAAACGAAGGGCAAAACUCUAGCAGAAAUUCAACUAAUUCUUAGCAGUACUAAAUCUUUGAGUACCGCAAUAAGAGACAUUAAACCUGGUAGUCCCGAAUAUGCAACUUUGUUAUUAAAGCAACAGCAAGAGUCAACGGCAUAAACAUCUUCUGAAUAAAAUUAAAUUGAUCUUGUGUUUUUUUCUUUACAACCGGAACCAAUACGAUAAAAGGAGUAGGCAUUACGAAAGAGAAUGCCUAAUUUCAUUCUAGUGUAGUUGAGUUAGGAUUUCUAACUACCAGGAAAUACGACGGUACUGUUUGGAACAAGCAAACACACCUGUCAUGCACCUUGAAAAGAAGAAUAGAAAUUAACAUUUAUUUUUUCGACGCAAAUUUAAUGCAGAAAUAUUGAAUUUGUUUUUGAUAGUAAUUGAACAACACAAAUAAUCGAAUCGAAUUGAAUAUGCGACAUUGGUGUGCUAAAGAAGCGACCUUGGCGCGAGGUUACCUCGAGGCAAGUUGUAAAUGGGUUAAGUAGUUUAUUAUAAACCUAAAAAUUACUUCCGAAUCAUUCAAGGAAGCGCAUGAAUGAUUUUAUUUUGGUAUUUAUUAGCAUAUUAAUACAUCGAAUCCUAAUGAAUUUGUAAGGCCGCGACACCGGUAUAUGAUCAUCGCUUUUGUCGCAAAAAAAUCGUAUUGAUGUUUAGUGCUAUACAUUUCCUCAGCAUUUCCGCAAACCCAGUAACUUGUGCUAGUAGCAUUUUAAAACGUUAUUUACGUAUAAAGGAUUUCUGCAACUGCAGUCGCCCAAGGAUCGGUUUUAUAGCCAAUCCUAUUAAUGUGCACAAUUGAUUUAGAAGUUGUUUCUAGGUGGUCACUCCAUGAUGUUGAAGGUACACCAAAACUACCUUCUAGCAAAAUGUGAACAGCAAACUUGAGGCUACAUCUUAAUAUUGGAAGGAAGUUAUGAUGCUUCUUGCAACAGGAAAGCGCAUGGUGCAGUGAAAGUAAUACACUCAUUGCUAUAUCAUCCUAGGCAGGAGAAUUUCCCCAGUUUUGUCUUCUGAUGAAGGGAAUUCAAUAUCGAACGACAUUUGGUUGUCAAUAAAUGCGGGUCUCGAAUCACCGUUUCAUCUCUUUACGGGAACAUCUUAGAUUCAGCUAUAAAAAAAGCAACCCACAAUGUUGGAGGGUAGAAUCAAAUUGCGUCGAAUAUUACUGGCGGUGUCCGAUCUCUUGCAAGUUGUAGUGUAGUUCGCACGCUUGUUAGUGUUACUAGUGUAAACGUGUAAUUGCUGAUUUUUUAAAUAAAUAAGUUAAAAAUUA